CUUAGGCUUCCCGAUGAUGGUCUCGGUUGCCCAUAAAGCAACCGGUGAAAAGGGAAUGUGGUGAUGCAACGCAAGUUGCCAAUGCCACGGCUGCCCCCGCAACUGUAGGCGAGGAGCGACAUCCGUUAUCCACUGGCGUCAGGGCCGGGAAGGGGGAUGAAGCUGCGAAUCGCAAGCCAGGAGACCUGCCAUCAGAGGCGGACAUUC
rnacentral:ncRNA from 2 species